AGAGUUUGAUUAUGGCUCAGGACGAACGCUGGCGGCGCGCCUAAAACAUGCAAGUCGAACGAGAAGCCCGGGCUUGCCCGGGUGGACAGUGGCGAACGGGUGAGUAACACGUGAGGAACCUGCCCCGAAGACCGGGACAACACCGGGAAACCGGUGCUAAUACCGGAUACCUUCACCGGAUCGCAUGGUCUGGUGAAGAAAUGGAUUCCGCUUCGGGAUGGCCUCGCGGCCUAUCAGCUUGUUGGUGAGGUAACGGCUCACCAAGGCGACGAUCGUUAGCUGGUCUGAGAGGAUGGCCAGCCACACUGGAACUGAGACACGGUCCAGACUCCUACGGGAGGCAGCAGUGGGGAAUCUUGCACAAUGGGCGAAAGCCUGAUGCAGCGACGCCGCGUGGGGGAUGAAGCAUUUCGGUGUGUAAACCCCUUUCGACCGGGAAGAAUGCCUCGCAAGAGGACUGACGGUACCGGUAUAAGAAGCCCCGGCUAACUACGUGCCAGCAGCCGCGGUAAGACGUAGGGGGCCAGCGUUGUUCGGAAUUACUGGGUGUAAAGGGUUCGUAGGCGGUGUGGCAAGUUGGGAGUGAAAUCUCUGGGCUUAACCCAGAGGCUGCUUCCAAAACUGCUGUGCUUGAGUGUGGGAGAGGUGCGUGGAAUUGCAGGUGUAGCGGUGAAAUGCGUAGAUAUCUGCAGGAACACCCGUGGCGAAAGCGGCGCACUGGACCACAACUGACGCUGANNA
rnacentral:rRNA from 1 species